AUUGAACGCUGGCGACAUGCUUUACACAUGCAAGUCGAACGGUAACAGGCCGCAAGGUGCUGACGAGUGGCGAACGGGUGAGUAAUGCAUCGGAACGUGCCCAGUCGUGGGGGAUAACUACUCGAAAGAGUAGCUAAUACCGCAUACGAUCUAUGGAUGAAAGCGGGGGACCGUAAGGCCUCGCGCGAUUGGAGCGGCCGAUGUCAGAUUAGGUAGUUGGUGGGGUAAAGGCUCACCAAGCCAACGAUCUGUAGCUGGUCUGAGAGGACGACCAGCCACACUGGGACUGAGACACGGCCCAGACUCCUACGGGAGGCAGCAGUGGGGAAUUUUGGACAAUGGGCGCAAGCCUGAUCCAGCAAUGCCGCGUGCAGGAAGAAGGCCUUCGGGUUGUAAACUGCUUUUGUACGGAACGAAACGGCUCUGGUUAAUACCCGGGGCUAAUGACGGUACCGUAAGAAUAAGCACCGGCUAACUACGUG
rnacentral:rRNA from 1 species